rnacentral:rRNA from 1 species
GUAGGUGGCAAGCGUUAUCCGGAAUUAUUGGGGCGUAAAGCGCGCGCAGGCGGUUUCUUAAGGUCUGAUGUGAAAGCCCACGGGCUCAACCGUGGAGGGUCAUUGGAAACUGGGGAACUUGAGUGCAGAAGAGAAAAGCGGAAUUCCACGUGUAGCGGUGAAAUGCGUAGAGAUGUGGAGGAACACCAGUGGCGAAGGCGGCUUUUUGGUCUGUAACUGACGCUGAGGCGCGAAAGCGUGGGGAGCAAACAGGAUUAGAUACCCUGGUAGUCCACGCCGUAAACGAUGAGUGCUAAGUGUUAGAGGGUUUCCGCCCUUUAGUGCUGCAGCUAACGCAUUAAGCACUCCGCCUGGGGAGUACGGUCGCAAAGACUG